AGUGAACGCUGGCGGUAGGCUUAACACAUGCAAGUCGAACGGCAGCACAGUAAGAGCUUGCUCUUACGGGUGGCGAGUGGCGGACGGGUGAGGAAUACAUCGGAAUCUACUUUUUCGUGGGGGAUAACGUAGGGAAACUUACGCUAAUACCGCAUACGACCUACGGGUGAAAGCAGGGGAUCUUCGGACCUUGCGCGAGUGAAUGAGCCGAUGUCGGAUUAGCUAGUUGGCGGGGUAAAGGCCCACCAAGGCGACGAUCCGUAGCUGGUCUGAGAGGAUGAUCAGCCACACUGGAACUGAGACACGGUCCAGACUCCUACGGGAGGCAGCAGUGGGGAAUAUUGGACAAUGGGCGCAAGCCUGAUCCAGCCAUACCCCGUGGGUGAAGAAGGCCUUCGGGUUGUAAAGCCCUUUUGUUGGGAAAGAAAAGCAGCAGGUUAAUACCCCGCUGUUCUGACGGUACCCAAAGAAUAAGCACCGGCUAACUUCGUG
rnacentral:rRNA from 1 species